UCAUCUUUUUCUAUGGCUUGUAAAGGGUUAAAUAAAAGUACAGUAGUCCCCCACUUAUCCAAGGUUUUGCCUUCUGCAGUUUCAGUUAUCCGUGGUCAACUGUGGUCUGAAUAUAUUGAGUGGAAAAUUCCAGAAAUAAACAAUUCGUAAGUUUUGAAUUGCACACCAUUCUGAGUAGCCUGAGGAAAUCUCUCACCUUCCAGUUCUGUCCCACCUGGUAUGUGGAUCAUCUUUUUAUCCAGCGUCUCCAAGCUACAUAUACCCCUUAGUCACUUAAUCCUGGAAUGCUGGUAGCUGGUCUCCUAACCUUCAGAGAGGAGAGAGGAACACUCACCUCAGGAGAAGCUGAUCAGCUUCGGAUAAGACCUACAGAUUCUGAAGAAGCCCCCGCAGCCCCUGCUCAUAUCCCCACAACAUUUAUUUCUGCACAUGAAGCCACUUCAACUUUCUGUGGAAGGAUGUUCCUCUCAGCUUGCACGUACCAGCCAGAAAGGCCAGAUAAAACAAGCUGCCAUGUUGGAGAGGCCCAUGAGGCAAAGAACAGAGGACAGCCUCCAGCUAACCGCCAGCAGGAAAUGAGGCUCUCAGUCCAACAACCUUCGAGAAACUGAAUCUUGCCAACAACGAUGUGAAUGAAUUUGGAAGCAGAGUCUGUCCCAGUUGAACCUUGAUGGAGUCUUGAAAGACACCGGCGGCCAAUACUGUAAUUGCAGCCUGUGGGAGACUUUGAAGUAGAGGACCCAGGUAAGACGUACCUGGAUUUCUAACUCACAGAGACUGGAGAAUUAAUGUGUUGUUUUAGAUGACUAAGUUCUGGGACACAGUUCAUCUUCAUCAUUCAAGGAUUACAUAACUGCAAAUUCACCUGCUCACUAAAAUUUAUUUGUAACCCCCAAAAUCAAUAGUCACCACAAACUUUCGUGGUCACCAUGGACAUGUAUAGAGCAGUGAAAAAUUUAAGUUGCCUGAUGCACAUGUUCCCAGCUGACGGGGAACCAGGCAACAUUCUGAUUUCUUGUUUUAAUUUUCAUAGUGUAUGUAAGUGUCCUUUUCACAGUCUAUUUAGUGCCAUGUUUUUUGCAUUUUUGUGAUUUUUGUUGUGACUGCACUGGUUAGAAUGGUCCCCAAGCACAAAGCUGACGUGCUGUCUAGUGUUCCUAAGGACGAGAAAGCUGUGAUGUGCCUUAUGGAGAAAAUUUGUGUUUUAGAUAAGCUUCGUUCAGGCAUGAGUUAUAUUCAGGAUGUUGGCUGUGAAUUCAAUGCGAAUGAGUCAACAGUAUAUAUUAAAUAAAGUGUAUUUGAACAGUAACACACAUGAAACAAGAUUGUGUACUGAUCAGUUCAUGAAAAUGAUGUAUUUCCUCUAGGAGCAAUGAUUCAGCAUUUGCUAAUUCAGUGUUCUCACUGACUUAGAAUACAUAACUACCUCAAAUAAUGAGAAUUGACUGGAAGGGAAACAAGGUAAUUCAAUUCACAAUUGUAAGGGGGAAAAGUGUCAUAAGGAGGGCAUGAUCAAGUGUCAAGAGAGCAGGUCUCUCACUAGGGGUAAGGUCAGAGAGGUAGUGGAUGAUAGUUAUUAGUGGCUGCCAUCUAACUAUCAUUAAAAUGGUUUUAUAGAAAAAAUAAUUUUGCCGGGAGGAACAGAGUUAUUUUUAAUGAAUGUGAGUGAAACUCUAGGAAAAUCAGCCUCACAAAGCAGUCUCUUUGCUCUAGAAAGCCCACAGCUGUGUGAGGAUUGAUGUGUCAAAAGGCACCAGCUUAAUGAAAAGCUCCAUGACUAUACAGGGUGAUGUAACCCAAGGCCAGCCUCUGGCAGCCGCAGCACAGAUGCUGCCAGCGCAGGGAAACGGACCGGCCACAGGAGAAGGUACGCAAGGGAAUAGCUCCCUGCGGACCCCUUAACACAGCUUUUCUGUAAUCUAUGGCUGGAAGUGUUAGCAUCUACGGCUGAAAGUUUAAGGUCUCUUCACUUUAUUUACUUU